UGCCCGCACAAAUUUUCUGCCUGCCGCAUGGACAGUAAUUACCAGAACGGAUUCUGCCGCAACCGGGUUAAGAACUAAGAGCUUGAGUUGAAAAAUAUAAAGGGUUAUUAGAGGGGCGGUCCAUCUCCUCAAGGAUUAGACUAACAGCUUGUGAUUUACCUUAGACCAACAUAAAGGAUGCUCGUCAGGAUCUGUUUUUUCAUGGCGUAUCUGUCAGUGGGUGUAACUGUUCGAAGUAACGAGUCCCUGCUGACGGAGCAACUGCUCGCCGAAUAUGGACCGCGGACUACUCGUCCCGUCGAUAAUUCAAAUUCAACAAUCAACGUGACGUUAAGAUUUAUCAUAACUCAAGUCAUAAACUUGGUAAAAUAUUCACAUUUAUGUUCGUAUUAUUAUUAAUUAUGUAAAUAGCUUUCUCUAUGCUUUUCGUUCAAAAUAAUCAUGUGAAAUUAUACUUUUUUCUUUCUUUCACAUCCAAUAGCUAGUAAAGCAUUACAAAUUUAUUU